rnacentral:miRNA from 1 species
UAUAAUAUUGUAUUGUAGUCUGUUGUUGUAAACAUCCCCGACUGGAAGCUGUAAGACACAUUCUAGCUUUCAGUCAGAUGUUUGCUGCAUCCGGCUAUUCAUGGACAGC